rnacentral:rRNA from 1 species
UACGUAGGGGGCAAGCGUUGUCCGGAUUUAUUGGGCGUAAAGAGCGCGCAGGCGGUCGUUCAAGUCGCGUGUGAAAGCCCCCCGGCUCAACUGGGGAGGGUCACGCGAUACUGCUCGACUCGAAGGCAGGAGAGGGAAGUGGAAUUCCCGGUGUAGUGGUGAAAUGCGUAGAUAUCAAGAGGAACACCUGCGGCGAAGGCGGGUUGCUGGGCCGACACUGACGCUGAGGCGCGAAAGCCAGGGGAGCGAACGGG